AUUUUAACAUUGGUCGGAAGAAUAAAACCGAAAAUAAAACAAUUCUUUUUGUUUUAAGGAAAGAUGCUGAUCUGUAUCGCUUACCAUUAUCAUUCUUCAAUAGCUAAGGAACAGUCUAUCCCUGAAGGAUGUAGCUUGGAAAUGAACGACUAGCGCUGCACACUUAUUUUGUAAUCUUGCUGCUCACUGAUCGAAUAAUUGUAAGAGCUAUGAGGCAAGAAGCAAAACACAUUGAGAACCAGAGGUUUUUAAUUAACUCAUUCCUUCUUGCUCCCGUCAAAAUGACUGGGUGGAUUUUCAUCCUCUAUUUCUCGUGCCUGUGAUAUUUCCGGGCUCGUGUGUUCAAAAGAAAUGGGCCAAAAAGGUUAAAGCACUGUAUUUCCUAUGUCCGGAAUUAUGUUUACGACUAAUCUUUUAUUGUCAUAUCUUGAAAUUAAUGCUUCAUAUAAAGAAGUAAAUGUAUCGAAGGUAGAAGCAAAUUCUUUCACUUCGUUAGCAAGACAAGAAUUUAAAUAAUAUAGUUUCUGUGUUUCACCAAGUUGACUGUUAGAAGCAAUUAAAUCAUCAAAUUGAUUUUUAAAACUAGAAAAAUGUUCAUAUUUUCCGGAAAAUAUAGGAAGAUUAACUGGAGGAAUUUUUAAUACAGUUUCUAAGUUAUCAUUUAGUUUAUGAUUAUUCUCUGUCUUAUUAUUAGAAUCAGCACUAGAUGGCAGUGCCAGACUAUUUGUCAUGUGUUUAGAGAUUGUUUAUUUUAAACAAGAUAUCACAAUAUAUAAGCUAAAAAUUAACCCAAAAAUUAAAAAUAAGAAAAUAUAUUGUAUAUACACUUAC